rnacentral:misc_RNA from 1 species
GUGAAUCAUCGAAUUUUUGAACGCAUAUUGCACUCUCUGGUAUUCCGGAGAGUAUGCCUAUUUGAGGGUCAUUUGGAAUAAUAUAAAUUUCGAGAGUUUCUUGAAAGCAAAAAUGGGGCGGUCCAGCUAUCGUGUGGUGUUGGCCUAAAAUACAAGACAAGCUCAUUUCUUUGGUUGCGUGAUACUUUAAGUUACCUGGUGGAUUCACAGGAAUUCUUCGAUCGUGUUAAUG